AAACGCUUGAAGUCAGUCACGUUGGCUGGGAAUCAACCUUGCUUUGCUUGGUGUACUUUCUAGUUAAUGGGUCAGCAUCAGUUUUGAGUGUUGGAAAAAGAUUAGGGGAAUGUGGCAUCUUCGGAUGUGUUAUAGCCCUUGGUUGUAUACAGCACUUGGGACUGAGGAACUCAGCACGCCGCAAGGCUGGUCUUCGGACACAUACGUGCUUAGGAUGCUGGCAAAAUGGCUUUAAUCGA
rnacentral:rRNA from 1 species